rnacentral:ncRNA from 1 species
AUAGAAAUAUAAAAUUAAUCGUAUAACCCUAAUGAUAUGGUUUAGGGGUCUCUACCAGAAACCGAUAAUUUCUGAUUACGAAGAAGACUUAU